rnacentral:lncRNA from 1 species
CAGCAAAUGAAAAAAAAAUCCUAAGUUAUUGUUUUUUCGUAUAUUCUUUGAAAGGACUUUUCAAUAAAAGACUCUGUUUUCCCUUUGCUCUCUGCACAAGUAAAUGUUUUCAUGGAAAUCCCUAAUUUGAUUGCCAUACAUCUUUUUCUUCCACUCAUUGUAAUUGGUGCCUAAAAUAUUAUUCAUGCAACCUGUCUGCUAUAACCAUUCUUUAAUCCUACGCAUUGUAUUUGAACCAAAUGCAAAAUCAGUACGGUAGUCUCAUUAAGAAAGUAAGUUGACCCAGUUGUAAUAAGGAUGUUCAGUUGACCUUUAAUGUUUUUCUUUUACAAAUUGUGACUUGGGUGGAGAGUUGUCUCAUUGACCCUUGUACCACAUCUUCUUAGAUAUAUAGAUCUGUCUCUGAUAAGAUGAACCAUACAUUUAGAACAUAAAUUCUACAAAUUUGCAUUUUUUUUAAACUUGUUAAAACUUUUAGAAUGUGACCAAGACAUAGCAUUCCAUGAGCAUUUUGUUCAAAUUUGUUGUGAACUUAUGACAAAUUAAACAAAACUUGUUCCCUUAUUAUCACUAAAUUGUCCUGACUUGUACAUUUUUCAAUCCUGUCCUGUAAAUUAUAAUACCCUAACAUUAUCAUUGAUUAUACAGUAAAACCUAAAUAAACCGAACCCUUUCAGGACAUGAUAUUUUGUUCGGGUUUGGCAGGUAUUCGGUUUCAUCAGGUUCACAAUGCAUAAAAUGUGAUAUGAUUGGUCUUCAGAACAAGUUUGGGUUAGACAGGUUCCCGGUUUAUUCAGGGUUUGGUUUAAUCAGGUUUCACUGUACCAAUAACUGCAUAUCUACAAAGUAAUUAUGUACAAUUGCUAAAAAAUCUAUGAAAUUUCCAGAGUUUUUUGCAUUUCACUAAUAUGAUCUAAGCCCUUUAGUAGUUGACUUGAUCAAUUUUCCAGAUUUUAUCACUUCUUUUUAUAUACACAAAACAUAGUGCAUUGAACACAACUUUAUAUACAUCCUACUUAUGAACAUUUUAACAAAUUUUUAAAUGAAAUAUAUACUCAGAUACUGAAAUUACAAAAUGAUUUGUAUACAUAUAUUGCUGUAAUCAUACUUGUUAAGAAUAUUACAAGGCUGCAGUUAUCCUGGUAUCUAUGAUGAGUUUAUUUACAUGUAUUGUGCAUGGUGCAUGCAUCUGUUAUCUGUUCUUUAAAAUCAUACUUUGGAGUUAUCUUCCUUAUAUAUAACUAUAGAUAGUUACCAAUUACAAUUAUAUCUCUAUUUCCUAGUAUUGCCUUCCAAUGCCUAAUACAAUUUCAUGCUUAAUUUCCAUGGUAUAGCAAAAUGAUAGCAAUCUUUACCCUUUAGUGCUCAUAAGCUCUUUGAUUGUAAUACAUUUGUAAAUGUACAUGUAUUCAUUGCAGUUUCUCAUUGCUUUAUUUAAAAUCAACAAACUUGCCAUUUGAUCUUUUUUUUUCUUCACCUUUUCAACCUGAAACAAAACUGGUUGCAUUUUAAUGAGGGAUCACUGUACUAUUAGUUACAUAGUGUGCUAGUGACCUAAUACGGUAUAUAUGGGGUCAGUAAAUUCCAUAUGGGGUGAGAGCGAAGCUCAAAUCCCCAUAUGGAAUUUACUGACCCCAUAUAUACCGUAUUACGUCACUACACACUAUGUAACGAAUUUAUCUUACCGACUAUCUUAACGUGUGAAAUUAAGACUAGUGAUUCUCAAAACGAGCAAGUCUUCAAUACUGUUAGCGCUAAGAAAUUACUUCUAUUAAUCCUACAAAAACAGAUGCCAACAAUAACGACUUGUAAGGUUUAAAUGUGUUUUAUGAAUUUGUUUCAAUCUGAAUCAUCAAUUUCUUCGUCUGUUGGAACUUUUAAGAUUUUUUCUCAGUACCGUUUUGUUUUUACAAAGGGACAUAACACCAUUACUAACCGUGUAUUAAAUAAGCCCCGGCCCCUUCUUACCUAAUAAGGAUUAUAAAGGGACGUAACUCCACUACUAACCGUGUAUGAGAUAAACCCCGCCUCCCUACUAACCUAAUAUCAAAUAUACACGGUUUGCACGCGGACGCUUUUAACCAAUCAUAUUCCUGGAAAUGUAUAGGAGGUAAGAUAAAUGCUUAUACAUACUUUGGGUAUAUUUCUUACACAGUAAACCAGGUCUUAAUUACUAUAUAAAACAUGAAUUUUUAGUAAAUACAAAUUUGUUUUGGAUAAACAAAUGGUGAAAACUAGUACAAAUAUCAUAUGAAUCAGAAUUUGCUAAAAUAUGAACAGUGAAUUUGAAUGAAGUUAUUUUGUUAUUUUUUAUGGUAUGAAUAUUUAUUUUUUAUUGUUCUAUCCAGAAUCUAUAUAUUUAUUGUUGAGUUGUGACUUGUUGAGUUGUGACAUAUUAAUUAUUGACCAAUGUGAUAUGAAAGAUAUAUCUAUAAGAAAUAAAGAACUGAUUAAAUUUA